AGUGAACGCUGGCGGUAGGCCUAACACAUGCAAGUCGAACGAGAGGCGGACGGGUGAGGAAUACAUCGGAAUCUACACUGGCGGGGGGGAUAACGUAGGGAAACUUAAGCUAAUACCGCAUACGAGUGAAGGAGCCGAUGUCGGAUUAGCUAGUUGGCGGGGUAAAGGCCCACCAGGCCGACGAUCCGUAGCUGGUCUGAGAGGAUGAUCAGCCACACUGGAACUGAGACACGGUCCAGACUCCUACGGGAGGCAGCAUUGGGGAAUAUUGGACAAUGGGCGCAAGCCUGAUCCAGCCAUACCGCGUGGGUGAAGAAGGCCUUCGGGUUGUAAAGCCCUUUUGUUGGGAAAGCGGUACCCAAAGAAUAAGCACCGGCUAACUUCGUGCCAGCAGCCGCGGUAAUUC
rnacentral:rRNA from 1 species